rnacentral:rRNA from 1 species
CUAGCGACUUCAGUAGUUUGAUCCUGGCUCAGGAUGAACGCUGGCAGCGUGCUUAACACAUGCAAGUCGAACGAAGCUACUUUACCGGUAUUUCUUCGGAAUGAAAGUUAUUGUGACUGAGUGGCGGACGGGUGAGUAACGCGUGGGUAACCUGCCUCAUACAGGGGGAUAACAGUUGGAAACGACUGCUAAUACCGCAUAAGCGCACGGCAUCGCAUGAUGCAGUGUGAAAAACUCCGGUGGUAUGAGAUGGACCCGCGUCUGAUUAGCUAGUUGGUAAGGUAACGGCUUACCAAGGCGACGAUCAGUAGCCGACCUGAGAGGGUGACCGGCCACAUUGGGACUGAGACACGGCCCAA